AUAGUGGUCUGAAAACCAUAGAGUUGAUCAGCAUCAUAAGAAAAACAACUAUGUUAUGGUUUUUGUUUCUAGUAGGGUUUUGCGCGGCGUACAAACCUGUUGUUUUUAUUCAUGGUUUCAAUGGUACCUCGGAAGAUGGAGACCUCAUCAAAGAUAUCAUUCAAAAGAUGCAUCCAGGGACCCUUUACUACACAGCGAAUGCUUUUAAUAGAACCGAUACGGUUAAACCAUUAUGGGAAGAGGUGGCGAUCGUAAAACCACAGCUUGUGAAGUACAUGAAGGCCCAUCCCGAUGGAAUCAAUUUGAUAUGUUACUCACAAGGUGGGUUGGUAUGCCGAGGCUUACUCUCCACGAUACCAGAUCAUAACGUGGACACUCUGAUUGCAGUCAGUUCCCCGAUGGCGGGAAUGUAUGGAGGUUUCAAAGGUCUUCCGGGAUUUGUUAAGCGCAAUGCAUAUAGGUAAGAUUGACAUACAAGUGUACGUUGAAUAUUAACUGAUAACUCAUAUUUUAUCAAUAAUCUUUCGUAAAUUUCGAUUUCUGUUAUUGACAUUGGUUUUGUUAAAAUAAAAAUGCACCUUAUCUUUAUAGAUUGCUUUACAGUAAAAUGGGGCAAAGAAUUUUUCUAGGAAACUACUGGAAAGGUUUACAAGAACAUAAUUCAAAACAUUAUGCGCUUUCCUAAAUUUGACAUAGAAAUAUUCUAUGAUAAUGAUAUUUUAAAGAAUAAUAACCAUGUAAUGAUUAUUACAUUAUAUAUUUUGUUUUGUUGUAGACCCUCAUCAUUUAGAUCUUUAUGAAAAAUUUUCGGAUUUUCUGGCUCCCCUGAACAACGAUUCAAUUUCUCCACACAUAACAGAAUUUAAACGCAACUUCCUGCGGAUAAAGCGGAUGGUUUUGAUUGGAGGUCCUGACGACGGUCUCAUAUGUCCAUGGCAAUCCAGUCUCUUUGGGUUCUACGAUGAAAAUGAAAUUGUUCAAGACAUGAAGAAGCAACGGUACUUUAUAGAGGAUUCCUUCGGACUUCGUACUAUGUCCGAACAGAAAAGGCUAUUUUGGUACAACAUUAAAGGUAUCGUUCACAAACAGUGGGUCAGGAACCCGGAUGUGAUCAAGAGUGUCUUUAUGAAGUGGUUAAACUAACUAUUUAUAAAUGUCAGUUGAAAAUGUUUAACGUCUCUGAUUUGUCAAAAUGAAGGCAUGAAGUAUUUUUAUUAUGUACACAAGAUGUUUGCCAAAUGUCAAUAUGAUUUUAUAUAUAUCUGUCACUAUUAGGUGCAAGAUAAUGUAUUUCAAAUGCCAUCAUAUGUCCGCUAUCAAAAAUAAAUUAUGCAUGCAGCAUUUUGAAAUGAUUUAAAAUGGCAAAUACUGAAUCUUUUUUUAAUCAUGAAAAGUGUGUAAUUGAUAUUCAAAUGUUAGUUUUAUAAACUCAUUCACACUCUUAAGGUUUUAAAAUAUUUCAAGUUCAACUUUUAAAGUUUUGAAUAUCAUAUUUUUAAAAAAUGUGUAUAGUUUUUGUAAUAUACACUGUAUGUAGAAAUUUUCCAAUAUAAAAAUGUAUUCAACUC
rnacentral:misc_RNA from 1 species